UAGGCCUACAUGAUUUUUUAAAAAAAACUAGAACGAUACAGAAAAGAUUAGCAUGGCCCUUGCGCCAGAAUGACAAUGACACGCACAUUCGUAAAAUGUUCCAUAUAUUU